rnacentral:rRNA from 1 species
UAAAAGCCAUCCCAGUUCGGAUUGCAGGCUGCAACCCGCCUGUAUGAAGUUGGAAUCGCUAGUAAUCGCGGAUCAGCAUGCCGCGGUGAAUACGUUCCCGGGCCUUGUACACACCGCCCGUCACACCAUGAGAGUCGGGAACACCCGAAGUCCGUAGCCUAACCGCAAGGGGGGCGCGGCCGAAGGUGGGUUCGAUAAUUGGGGUGAAGUCGUAACAAGGUAAC